rnacentral:rRNA from 1 species
CGCCUUUCGCUAAAUAAACAUGAAAGGUCCUGCCUGCCCAGUGAUAUAUUUUUAACGGCCGCGGUAUUAUGACCGUGCAAAGGUAGCAUAAUCACUUGUCUUUUAAAUUGAGACCGGUAUGAAUGGCAAAACGAAAGCCCAACUGUCUCCUUAAGCCAGUCAAUGAAAUUGAUCUUCUCGUGCAGAAGCGAGAAUAUAAGUAUAAGACGAGAAGACCCUAUGGAGCUUAAAAACAAGGCUAUAUAGGCACCCUACAAUAGCAUUAAAUUUAGGUUGGGGCGACCAUGAGGUAAAAUGUAACCCUCAAGACAACUAUUAGAAGGACACUUCAAGUAAAAAUAUAAUUUAUAUAUGACCCAAUAAUGAUCAACGAACCAAGUUACCCUAGGGAUAACAGCGCAAUCCAUUCCCAAAGCCCAUAUCGACGAAUGGGUUUACGACCUCGAUGUUGGAUCAGGACCCCCUAAUGGUGCAACAGCUAUUAAAGGUUCGUUUGUUCAACGAUUAAAGUCCU